GAUGAACGCUAGCGGCAGGCUUAACACAUGCAAGUCGAGGGGUAACAGGGAAGAGCUUGCUUUUCCGCUGACGACCGGCGCACGGGUGAGUAACGCGUAUAGAACCUACCUUUUACAGGGGAAUAGCCCAGAGAAAUUUGGAUUAAUGCCCUAUAGUAUUAUUGAAUGGCAUCAUUUAGUAAUUAAACAUUUAUGGGUAAAAGAUGGCUAUGCGUUCUAUUAGCUAGAUGGUAAGGUAACGGCUUACCAUGGCAACGAUAGAUAGGGGUCCUGAGAGGGAGAUCCCCCACACUGGUACUGAGACACGGACCAGACUCCUACGGGAGGCAGCAGUGAGGAAUAUUGGACAAUGGAGGCAACUCUGAUCCAGCCAUGCCGCGUGCAGGAAGACGGCCCUAUGGGUUGUAAACUGCUUUUAUACGGGAAGAAACCCAACUACGUGUAGUUGGCUGACGGUACCGUAAGAAUAAGCACCGGCUAACUCCGUGCCAGCAGCCGCGGUAAUACGGAGGGUGCAAGCGUUAUCCGGAAUCAUUGGGUUUAAAGGGUCCGUAGGCGGGCUAAUAAGUCAGGGGUGAAAUCCAACAGCUUAACUGUUGAACUGCCUUUGAUACUGUUAGUCUUGAAUUAUAUGGAAGUAGAUAGAAUGUGUAGUGUAGCGGUGAAAUGCUUAGAGAUUACACAGAAUACCGAUUGCGAAGGCAGUCUACUACGUAUAUAUUGA
rnacentral:rRNA from 1 species